rnacentral:rRNA from 1 species
AAUCAACGCUGGCGGCGCGCUUAACACAUGCAAGUCGAGCGAGAAAGGGGGAGCAAUCCCUGAGUACAGCGGCGUACGGGUGAGUAACACGUGGGUAAUCUGCCUUUUAGUGGGGAAUAACCCUGGGAAACCGGGGCUAAUACCGCAUAAUCCUGUGAAGGGAAAGCAGCAAUGCGCUGAAAGAGGAGCCCGCGGCCGAUUAGCUAGUUGGUGAGGUAACGGCUCACCAAGGCGGNGAUCGGUAGCCGGCCUGAGAGGGCACACGGCCACACUGGCACUGAAACACGGGCCAGACUCCUACGGGAGGCAGCAGUGGGGAAUCUUGCACAAUGGAGGCAACUCUGAUGCAGCGACGCCGCGUGAGCGA